rnacentral:lncRNA from 1 species
UUGGAGUGUAUCCAUGUUCCAAACUUGAAAAUAAUAAAAUUUAAAAAAUGUACACAUGUUUCUUUGCAAAUUGGAGUGCAACAUUGAAGUUUGGAGGAUACCAUGUACCGGAGUUUGUAAGGUUGGUAGCAGCCAUGCUAUAGGUAGCUGCUGAAAUACCUAUCAGUGAAUUAGGUUUUAAGAAUUGGGUUUUUUUUGUUUGCUUUUAUGUUUUCAAUUUUGCUAGUCACAUGUAAGCCAAUAUUUACCCUCACUGUGUCAAAUUUAAAUUAUCUUUAAUCAAGAGUUUUAGCAAUGAAGCAGAAAGAAUGGAAAUGUGUCGAGUAUUAUAUGCAUCAGUGACGGGAAGUCUAGUGUAUGUUAUGUUAUCAGUGAUGGGAAGUCUAGUGUAUUAGAGAUUUUGAAAGCUUAUAAAGUAGCUUGAAGGGAUAUUGUGAAUGGUAAAACCACUUUUGUGGUAUGAUAAGAGUUAUGGGGUCCAAAUCAUUUCAACAUGUCUAUAAUGCAUGUAACACAAGUUCCAUUAUGCAUGUGAUGGAAAGUGGAAAUAUGCAUGUAGUGCAAAGUGAAAAGUUUCAUCGAAGGCAAGUGGUUUGUUGCAUAAAGAGAAAGUGGUUUAUUGUAUCUAAGAAAGUUUGGUUUGUCUCGUCUACAAAUAGAACUUUGGACAAGCAUUAUCACCAUCCCAAGAUCAAGUAUUAAUACAACAACAAGCAGUAGAAAUUGUUGAGAAUAAGAUGAAAAAUUGUAAAAGAAGACAUAGUUUCUCCAUUAAAGUUUCUCCUACUUUUAAGAGAGAUCGUAAUUGUUCUCUUCCUACAUUUAGAAAGAUGUUCCACUAAGUGAAAAUUCUUUACUUUUG